rnacentral:rRNA from 1 species
GUGACCUCAAAUCAGGUAGGACUACCCGCUGAACUUAAGCAUAUCAAUAAGCGGAGGAAAAGAAACUAACAAGGAUUCCCCUAGUAACUGCGAGUGAAGCGGGAAAAGCUCAAAUUUAAAAUCUGGCGGUCUUUUGGCUGUCCGAGUUGUAAUCUAGAGAAGUGUUAUCCGCGCUGGACCGUGUACAAGUCUCCUGGAAUGGAGCAUCAUAGAGGGUGAGAAUCCCGUCUUUGACAUGGACUGCCAGGGCUUUGUGAUGCGCUCUCAAAGAGUCGAGUUGUUUGGGAAUGCAGCUCAAAAUGGGUGGUAAAUUCCAUCUAAAGCUAAAUAUUGGCGAGAGACCGAUAGCGAACAAGUACCGUGAGGGAAAGAUGAAAAGAACUUUGGAAAGAGAGUUAAACAGUACGUGAAAUUGCUGAAAGGGAAACGCUUGAAGUCAGUCGCGUCGUCCAGGGAUCAACCUUGCUUUUGCUUGGUGCACUUUCUGGUUCGAUGGGUCAGCAUCAAUUUUGACUGUUGGAAAAAGGUUGAGGGAAUGUGGCAUCUUUGGAUGUGUUUAUAGCCCUUGGUCACAUACAAUGGUUGGGAUUGAGGAACUCAGCACGCCGCAAGGCCGGGUUUAAACCACGUACGUGCUAGGAUGC